rnacentral:rRNA from 1 species
CCCUUAGAUGUCCGGGGCUGCACGCGCGCUACACUGACUGGCUCAGCGUGUGCCUACCCUACGCCGGCAGGCGCGGGUAACCCGUUGAACCCCAUUCGUGAUGGGGAUCGGGGAUUGCAAUUAUUCCCCAUGAACGAGGAAUUCCCAGUAAGUGUGGGUCAUAAGCUUGCGUUGAUUAAGUCCCUGCCCUUUGUACACACCGCCCGUCGCUACUACCGAUUGGAUGGUUUAGUGAGGCCCUCGGAUCGGCCCCGCCGGGGUCGGCCCACGGCCCUGGCGGAGCGCUGAGAAGACGGUCGAACUUGACUAUCUAGAGGAAGUAAAAGUCGUAACA